AGUGAACGCUGGCGGUAGGCCUAACACAUGCAAGUCGAACGGCAGCACAGUAAGAGCUUGCUCUUACGGGUGGCGAGUGGCGGACGGGUGAGGAAUACAUCGGAAUCUACUUUUUCGUGGGGGAUAACGUAGGGAAACUUACGCUAGUACCGCAUACGACCUACGGGUGAAAGCAGGGGAUCUUCGGACCUUGCGCGAUUGAAUGAGCCGAUGUCGGAUUAGCUAGUUGGCGGGGUAAAGGCCCACCAAGGCGACGAUCCGUAGCUGGUCUGAGAGGACGAUCAGCCACACUGGAACUGAGACACGGUCCAGACUCCUACGGGAGGCAGCAGUGGGGAAUAUUGGACAAUGGGCGCAAGCCUGAUCCAGCCAUACCGCGUGGGUGAAGAAGGCCUUCGGGUUGUAAAGCCCUUUUGUUGGGAAAGAAAAGCAGCAGGUUAAUACCCCGCUGUUCUGACGGUACCCAAAGAAUAAGCACCGGCUAACUUCGUG
rnacentral:rRNA from 1 species